UACGUAGGGGCGAGCGUUGUCCGGAUUUACUGGGCGUAAAGGGUGAGUAGGCGGUUGUAUAUGUCAGGUGUAAAAGGCUAUGGCUUAACCAUGGUUAGCACUUGGAACUGUACAACUUGAGUGCAGGAGAGGUAAGUGGAAUUCCUAGUGUAGCGGUGAAAUGCGUAGAUAUUAGGAGGAACACCAGUGGCGAAGGCGACUUACUGGACUGUAACUGACGCUGAGUCACGAAAGCGUGGGUAGCAAACAGGAUUAGAUACCCUGGUAGUCCCU
rnacentral:rRNA from 1 species